rnacentral:lncRNA from 1 species
AAGGCAAGCAAACCCAUUGUCAAAAUGAGGUCUUGCCCUGUUUUAGAAUACUCACAUACAGCAUAACUCUGUAGUUAUGUGACAUGUGUGAUGUUGUUACUAAGAGUGAAUCACCUGUAUUUAUGACUACGGAAGGGUUAAUAGAAGUCCUCUUUUUUUCAGGUAGAAAUGAUCUUUCCCUUGGUCAGCUCUGUGUGACAGAAUGGGUCAGAUCCAUUUUUGUGUGACGUUUUCAAUCUUAUUGUUUGUUUUAUAGUGAACUGAAUGUGCAUGCCACAAAUACAAAUCAAAAGUGUACAAUUUAAUUUUUACAAACUGAAACGAAUUGAGUAAUCAGCACAGAUACAAGGAAUGGACCAUUACCAAUAUCUGAAUAGCUUGCUACCUGGUCAUUGUUUCCUAACGAAGGUAAUCACGGUUCUGAUGUCUUACUCUUUGAAUGUGUUCUACUUCUUAAUGACUUUUUUAUUAAGGGAAAUAUGUGUGUAUACUCAUUUGUACCUGCAUUCUUUCACUCAAAUUUUUGAGAUCUAUUCAUUUUUUUAUAAGUACUAAUAUGAAUUUUUUAAUGUGCUUUCAGACAAUGGCUAUUAUUAAUGACUGCUAUGAACAUUCUUGUGCAUGUCUAUUGACAAACAUAUGUAAAAACUUUUGACUUCCCAGUGUACCCAGAGGAGUGGCUGAGCCACCUAGAGGCAUGCUUGAGUUAUUUCAGAUACUGUCGAACAAACUUCAGAAGUGGUGCCAGUUCACUCUGGACCAGUGUCUGAGAGAGCUGGUUGCACUACAUUGUUGUCAGCACUUGAUAUUAUCUCUUUUGAAUUUUAGCCAUUUUGGUGGGUGUGUAGUAGUAGUAAUUGUGGUUUUGAUUUGCAUUUCCCUAAUGCAAGUCAAUUCCUUAAACAUAUUUCAUGUAUUUAUUACCUUGAUGACAUCAUGAAAUGUGGGUUUAAAUCUUGUCCAUUUUGGCAGUUGAGCUGCUGGUCUGAUUUGUUAUGUAUUUUUAGUUCUUUACAUAUAGUAGAUAUGAGACAUUUUCCAAAUAUAUGAACAGCAGAUAUUUUUCCCCAUUCUUGCCUUUCCAAUCUCUUUGUGAUGUCUUUUGGUACACUUAGGCUCUUAAUUUUAAUGGAGUCCAAUCGAUUUUUCCUUUAUAGAUAGUGAUUUGGGCAUCUCGUUUAAGAAUUCUUUGCCUAACUCAAUAAUGUGAAGAUUUUUCCUAUGUUUUUUUUUUCUAAUGUCUAACAUAGUUAACAUUUCACAUUAAGAGCCCUAAUCAGUCUAAAAUAGAUUUUUGCAAAUGGUUUUGGUGGCGGCAAGAUUUAGUUAUGGUUAUCUAGUUGUCCCAGCACAUUCAUUUAUGACUGUCAUUCCCCUUACUACUGUGGUAGGACAUUUGUCACAACGACCUAUGUGGUCUGCCCUCUUCAGUCCAUUCCAUUAGUCCACUUGCCCAUGUGUGUUCAUGUGGCAUUGUCUCAAUUACUAUAUGUUGUUUUGCUUAAUACCUGAUAGUGAAAGUUCUCUAGCUUUGCUCUCCGUCAUGUUCUAUCAUAAAUGACUAGAUACAGUUCCCGGUGCUAUACAGCAGGAUCUCAUUGCUUAUCCAUUCCAAAUGCAACAGUUUGCAUCUAUUAACCCCAGAUUCCCAGUCCAUCCCACUCCCUCCUCUUCCCCCUUGGCAACCACAAGUCUGUUCUCCAAGUCCAUGAGUUUCUUCUCUGUGGAAAGGUUUAUUUGUGCCAUAUAUUAGAUUCCAGAUAUAAAUGAUAUCAUACGGUAUAUGUCUUUCUCUUUCUGACUCACUUCAAUUAGUAUGAGAGUCUCUAGUUCCAUCCAUGUUGCUGCAGUGAGGCAGUUUUUGCUUUUCCUAUUUUAAGCUGGAAAGACAAAGCUAAAAAUAAAAGUUUUAGCAAUCUCAUUCUAUAGCUACACAUUUAUACGGAAACAGAACUAGCUAAGUCUAUGAAUGCAGAAUUAAUCUGUUUUUCAAAAAUAAAAACAACUACACAUUUCUGCAUUUUAUAGAUGCAGAAAGAGAAAACUGAAUUGCAAUUUUAUUUUAUUUACUUAUUUAUUUGUUUAUUUUUGACGUCUCUUUAAGGCCACACCCAUGGCAUAUGGAGGUUCCCAGGCUACAGGUCGAAUCGGAGCUGCAGCUGCUAGCCUACACCACAGCUAUAGCAAUGCAGGAUCCAGGCCACAUCUGUGACCUACACCACAGCUAAUGACAGCACAGAUCCUUAACUCACUGAGCAAGGCCUGGGAUCGAACUUGUGUCCUCAUGGAUGUCAGAUUCUUUUCCGCUGAACCACGACAGGAACUCCUAUUGCAAUUUUAUUUUAAGAAGAAACAGAAACUUAGUCUUUUCUAAAAGGAUUUUAUAUUUAUUAACUGCUAAAGAAACAAACUGAUAAAUAAUACAAAUAUUUAUAAAAUGUUAUCAAUUAUCUGAUAAAAUCUCCCAAACUGAACCAAUAUAUUAUAAAUACAAUAUAUUAUAAAUAUAAUACAGCUUAAUCCUUUACAAUAUCAUAUAUGUUGGAUACAGUUUAUCUUUAGUAAUAACUUUUAAUUUCCUGGGUACACUGAGAGGUACUUCUGUUAUUGUGAGCAACUUUUCUCAAUAUUCAAUGGCAACAGAGCAGUAAGUUUUAAUCUACUCUUAAAGAGCUUUUCUGAGUGAUCCAUCAUUAAAAUCAAUUUUGAGAAAAAUACAGGAACAUUAGCCUUGAUGAAAAUUUCUUUAUAUAGAGUAUAAGGACUGCCUUUUUUUUCUUAGCAAGUGUUGAUCAGUCAAUUGGAGAAGUAACAUUUUAAAUUCUGAAAGUGUGAUGCACACUCCCGGGUCUGUUUUUAAAUGACAUCACAUAUGUUUCAAUCUGAUCAACUACUUCUUAGUGUCAAGUCAGCAGAACAAAAUAAAAAAUGAGGAACCUUAAAAUAGUAGUUGAUUUUCUUCCUUUAUUUUGCAUACUUUUCUACUGAAAUUGAUUGAAAUUGAAGUGGGAAUAAUUUUAGAACAUAUAUAAAACUUGGUCCUUUUUCUUCCCAGCUGUAGUUUCUAACCUCCAUUUUUAAGCUAGUUUUCAGUCAGUUACACAUAAAAUGAAAAUUCGCAUUUUUCCUCUGCCUAUCCUACUCCAAUAAAUGCUUGCCUCCCACAGAGCCUCACUUGAGCCCCAGUUAGUGGGAGUAUUUGAAAUAAAAUAGUUUUUCUUUUAAUCUCUCUUACCUGAAGGGUAUUUUUGCUUUGCUUUUCACAUUCAUUUCAAUUUCAUGGAGAAGCCCAAUGUCUCCCUGUAAAAUAAAUGACUAAAUGUUUUCUACUAAAUGUCACUGAUGUGCUUUCGAAUGGUGCCAGGAUAGAAAGUCUUAUCUUGAAUGUGGAAUGUUAGAUGAAAUGAAUAACAUCAUUUUCAUAUAAAAGCUGAUUUUCAUAAGACUAUAUACCAUUUUCUUUAGAACGCCUGAGGGCAGAAAGCAUGUCAAAUAUUAAUCAUAAUUUAUCACUGAAUUACAGCAUACUAUUAAAAAAUCUCAAUUAAUACCAAUAUUACCUAACCUGUGGCGUAUGGAAGUUCCCAGGCUUGGAGUCCAAUCAGAGCUACAACUACUGGCCUACAUCACAGCCACAGCAAUGCCAUAUCCUUAACCCACUAAUGGAGGCCAGGGAUUGAACCCACAUCCUCUUGGAUACUA